GACAGAGGACUCGAGCGUUAGGCGGAAUCACUGGGCUUAAAGCGGGUGUAGGCGGGCCCGUAAGUGUCUUGUGAAAUCCCACGGCUCAACCGUGGAACUGCUGGGCAUACUGCGGGUCUUGGGCCAACUAGGGGCAGCCGGAACAAGCGGUGGAGCGGUGAAAUGCGUAGAUAUCGCUUGGAACGCCGAAGGUGAAAACAGGCUGCUGGGGUUGCGCCGACGCUGAGACACGAAAGCCAGGGGAGCAAACGGG
rnacentral:rRNA from 1 species